UUGCCUGGCUCCAGAAUUUCUGGACCCUGCUCACUCUUUGGCUGUUGUGCAGAUCUCUAUGUCGCGCAGCAACUGCCCUAAAGGAGAAAGUUUUCCUUGCAGCUUAACUAGCUGCCAACCCUACAUCCAGCUGGAUCGGGAUUAUCACUCUACACAUCCAGUGGCCCUGGAGAAGCUGCCCCUGCCUGGCCAGCAUCAUCCGGUUGCUACAGCCAAGGGAGUUCACUGCCAGCUCUUGUAGACCUGCUGGAGUGGUCCUCACUCAUGUGUGGUCUGGCGAGGAUGUGUCGGGGUGCCUGACACCAGCCUCAGCCAGCUGCUCCUCACAUCGGGAGACCUUUCCCAAGAAAGAACAGAGGACAAAAGGUCUUCCAGGCCCUGCACAUUCUCAGCCUCAGGCUAGUGCAUCAGGGAGCCCUGUUACUCCUGUGUCAGCAUUAAAGAGACCCUGCAAGAGAAAGGCAGCCACACCAGAGUUGCUGGUGCCACCCUCAGAGGUUCUACAACUACUGCAGGAUGAAGGCCAGGCCCUGUGUGGAGACUCCACCAGAUUUCAAGAAGAAAGACCCUACUAAUGUGGCCACAACUCCUGCCAUUUCUGACCUCCCCAGGCCUGGGGCUGAAGCUUUGUCUUUCAAUCCCUCCUCCUGCAGGAGGGACUCCACAGUGUCAGUGUGCACAGCUAGCCACCCUCCUCUCCCCUUCUCUGCGGCUCCUCUAUCCCUCUUCCCCAGGAACCCUCCCACAGUCUUCCCUACCUCAGCAUCUCAGGACUGUGAAGACAUGUACUGGGAGCCAUCUCCGUGGCCUGCAGAGGUGGACAUGGAUACCACGCCCCCUUCUGAGGCGGCUAUUCUGAGCUCACCCACUGUCAGCAGUGGUAGCUCCUUACCAUUUGCUCCUAGCCAUGGCUGUAUCCAGCAGAGGAUGGUUGCAAACGCAACCGUGUCCAUUAGCCUACCUUCAUGCAAAGUCCCCUGCUAUACUAGCUUUGGGAACAAUCUGUUUACUCCAAGGCCCACCAUUGGGCAGAUGCACGGAGUGUCUCCCGCUGGUAAUCCUGGUGUUUGGAUCCAACCUGGGCUGGUAGCAGCUCUCCCUCCCAUGGCAGCAGUAACCCCAUCUCCUGCUGCUGUGGACUUUGAAUUCAUGGAUACCACCCCACCUUCUAAAGCUUUCAUCUUUCAUUCUCCCCCUGCCACUGACAAUGUCUCCAACAGUGUGCCUCCCCAGUCAGUUUGGGGGCAUACUCCAGCUUGCAAGCCUGCUGGAGCUACCCCUAGGACGACCCCUGCAUUGCUAAGUGGGCCGCCAGCUGAUGGCUGUGUCUUUAUGAGAAAUCCCCCCACCUUAAGAGCAGCACCUGGCUUGACGUCACGAGCUGGCCCACCUGCUGGAGGUAGCUCGACUCACCUAGGAUUUGUAGGCCCAGCAUCACCUGCUCACCAUGGCAGGCCUGAUGGCACUGAGCUAGCCUACAGGAAGAGCCCACGUGCUUCGUCCAUCGCCACAUCGACCUCAGGGUUGACUCUCAAGGCAAGAAUGGGUUCAGGGAACUGCAGCUCAUCAUCCACCAACUUCACUCCCAGCACCCCAACAUUGGUGAAACCUGUGGUGCCAGUAGAGGGGGAGAACUGUGGGCGUGGCACGCACCUGCAAGCACACCUACCCACAGCUCGCUACUACAUUGCUAGGAGGAAGGGGAAGGACAAUGGAGUUACUGUCGCCCCCAUUGUCCUCAAACUUUGCAGCUCAUCUGCACACACUGGUCAUGCUGUGUAAAUGGGGGAGGGGGAGAGAGGCACUAGAAGAGAGGUACAUGGAUCCCCACUGCCCUGCCUGGCUCUCCAGGCUGGCACAGGCUGAAGACUACUUCCUAUAGCCCUUGACUGGCAGCGCAGGCCUGGUAUUUACUGAACUGUAUGCACAAGUGCGGAACUUCACACCCUCACCUCUCCAGAUGCACAGAGACCUGUUGAGUAAGCAACAACCCUAGUUGGUUACUAGGAUUUUUGUCUGUAGUUUUGAGUGGAAUGAUAUUUUCAUGUGUGGUGGUCUGGGUAUUCCCAAGUUAGUUUUUGUUUUCUCAUGAUAAUAUU